rnacentral:rRNA from 1 species
UACGUAGGGUGCGAGCGUUAAUCGGAAUUACUGGGCGUAAAGCGUGCGCAGGCGGUCUGUUAAGUCCGAUGUGAAAUCCCCGGGCUUAACCUGGGAACUGCAUUGGUGACUGGCAGGCUUUGAGUGUGGCAGAGGGAGGUAGAAUUCCACGUGUAGCAGUGAAAUGCGUAGAGAUGUGGAGGAAUACCGAUGGCGAAGGCAGCCUCCUGGGCCAAAACUGACGCUCAUGCACGAAAGCGUGGGGAGCAAACAGG